UACGUAGGCAGCAAGCGUUGUUCGGAGUUACUGGGCGUAAAGGGUGUGUAGGCGGUCUUUUAAGUUUGGUGUGAAAUCUCCCGGCUCAACUGGGAGGGUGCGCCGAAUACUGAGAGGCUAGAGUGCGGGAGAGGAGAGUGGAAUUCCUGGUGUAGCGGUGAAAUGCGUAGAUAUCAGGAGGAACACCGGUGGUGUAGACGGCUUUCUGGACCAUAACUGACGCUGAGACACGAAAGCGUGGGUAGCAAACAGG
rnacentral:rRNA from 1 species